UACGUAGGGGGCAAGCGUUAUCCGGAUUUACUGGGUGUAAAGGGAGCGUAGACGGCUGUGCAAGUCUGGAGUGAAAGGCAUGGGCUCAACCUGUGGACUGCUUUGGAAACUGUGCGGCUUGAGUGUCGGAGAGGCAAGUGGAAUUCCUAGUGUAGCGGUGAAAUGCGUAGAUAUUAGGAGGAACACCAGUGGCGAAGGCGGCUCUCUGGUCUGUAACUGACGCUGAGGCUCGAAAGCAUGGGUAGCGAACAGG
rnacentral:rRNA from 1 species